rnacentral:lncRNA from 1 species
AAAAAAAUACGAAGAGUGAAAACCGGAAGGAGCGAGACCGAAGCUGUGAGACCAGAAGCUACGACAGCAACACGAAGGCGACUGGACGGAGAGUGCGACCCAGGUGAUUGGAGCGCGACCACGGUGAUCACGAACCGGAGCGGACGAAAUGCGACCACCAACGACGGUCGGAUGGAGCGCGAAAGUUAGGAGAUGAAACCCGAUCAGAAACGGAAAUUGGAGAGUGAAGCACGGUGAGAACGUUGAGGAACCCUAACAAGGUAUUCAAUCGCCAGAAUCAAAACUUUCGUUUUUCGUUUCUACCCGUUUUAAACUCGUCAAAUUGCGGCAAAUCGCGAUUUCAUACGUUUUUACCGAGUUCAUAAACGAGUUCACUACCGAGUUAACUCGGCAACCUUAACUAAACACUCAAACUCGUCCGAGUUAGCGAGUUAACUCGCGAGAUUGAUAACCAUGGUUGAGAGCAUCUUUGUUGGUAGAAUAGAGGAGUCUUAAAAACUUGAGUUGGCACAUCCCUGAUCAUAGAACAGUCCUGGCCUGGUCUAGUACGUUGUGACUAGUCAUAUGUGCUGGCGUCGAAGGUGAGUCUGAUGCCUUCAAACAUAUUACCCCGCUCCGAUGACCAAUUGGGUUGGCAAGGAGUGGUAGGGAGUUAAGAAUUCUGGGUAGUCUAGCAAUUGGGAAAAACGAUUGAGGUUGUUGAAGGGAAGUGAGGGAGUGAUUUUGAGUCUUUGGGGUUAUGGACGUACUUGGUCUGCUUAUGCAAUUUAGGUAAGUCUAUUUAGACUUGUUAAGCAUAUAAAACGGAACCAAAACCUGCUAGAAUUGGUGGAUUUGAAAUAGAGUCCCUAAGUUAUGGAAAUUGGGAAAUUAGAGUUAGAUUCAAGCCUAAAUCACUUUAAGAUCACUAUAGGAAUUUGUAAAACCAGUUAGACCAGUUUAAAUAGGUUUGUAUCACGUGUUUGGGGUGUUAGAAGUUAGGUUGGAGGGUUGGAUUUGGUUGGAGGGGCAUGAGUUGCAUGAUUUUACAUAAUUGGCGUUCUGCAAAUCAUACAUACUCGCUAUGCAGAUAUUCUCGCAUAGCGAGUCGCUCCAGGAAGGAGCUAUAUGCCCCGUCUCUCGCUAUGCGGCAUGUGUGCGAUAUGCGAGAGACCCAAAGUUUGAUGCCUUGGCGAAUUAAUUCGCAAGGCAAAAUUGUGUGUGUGCGCUAUGCGAAUCAACCUGGAUUCACUGUGCGAGUGUUGUGCACCUUACGAAAAGUGUUGUUCCUGGUUCACUAUUUUUGGGUUUGCUUUGUUAUUUUAAGUUGAACUUGUUCGGUUUGAGAAGCAUGAUUUGGAGAGUAUUAUGGUUAUGUUGUUGAUGACUAUAGUAAUAUAUUGUGACGCCCAAACAUGUAUGUUGAUCAUGAUUCAAAAAUGGUAGGUUCAAAGGUAAAGAGGUAUGACUUCAAGGUGGUUGUAAUAUAUUUCAAAGUGUAGAGUCUCUCGGUGAGAUUCUUAGUGUUUUAGAAUGAAAUUAGGAGCUUAGUCUUGGGAGUCUUCCUGACGCUCCAAUGGUCUUUCUUCUCACAUAAAGAGGAUUGAACCAUGUGGUGAGGAGUAGUAGAAGGUCUUAGUCUUGGUAGAAUUGGGCAUAAAUUAACUAAAUUAUACUGAACUAUAGAUUAUCUAUACUAUUUUGUACUAUAAAAACUUAACUACUUUUUAUAAAAAUUGAAUUAUACUUAUUUGCAAUUCAGUUAAAAAAAAUGAAUUUCUUUUUUUAACAGUAUAGUUAACUACUUCAAACUAUUCAAUUUGCAGCAAUACAAACAUAAGAAAUAAACGCACGGGUGUAUAUAUAUAUAUAUAUAUAUAUAUAUAUAUAUAUAUAUAUAUAUAUAUAUAUAUAUAUAUAUAUAUAUAGAUAAAUAAAUAAAUGUUUUUCAAAUCUCUUAAAAAGUUAACUAUUAUUAUAAUAAUUAUUAAAAUAAAAUAAUAUUAUUAAAUUUAUACUAAAAUAAUUAUAUAUUUUAAAAAACUAAAUUUUAUUAUAUUGUGAUUAUAUUUCAAGAACUGGUAAUUAUUUUUAUAACUUAAUAAAAUUAAUUAUAAUUGUAAAAAUAAAAUUAUAUAGAUUUAUAAUUAAAUUUUUUUAAAUGCAAUAUUAAUUUAUUUGUUUGUUAUUAUUAAAAAAAUUCAAAUUAAACUAAUUCUUUUAAUUCUAUCCAUGAUUAGCCAUUGACAGCGUAGUUGCACUGGUGCAAAAUUACAUUUAUUCAUUGGAAAGCAUAAUGGAUGAGAUAGAGAAGAAAAGAGGUUGUCGGCAUAACUACAUAGAGAAUGUGCUUCCUUUGAGUUUAAAGAAGUACAAUACAUUACAUAACAAUUUAAUAGAAAAAAAAAAGUAGUUUAGUUCAGUUUAAUUGAAUUAACUUUUAGUUUCAUAUAGUUUUUAAGAGUACAGUACAGUACAAUUUAUUUUUCCCACCCCUAAGUCUUGGGGGUUUCCAGUAUGCCUCAAGGCCCGGAACAGGCUAAUCUCGUGAGUGUGGCAGGGUGGGGAACCCAAUUAUCAUAAGCUACCACGGGUGCAUGACUCGUCAUAACUCGACUAUCAUUCUAAAGUCCGGAUAAGUCUAGUGUUCAACAUGAUAGGAUGUAUGCUUUAUCUUGCUUUAAUUGGAGUUAACUCUUAUAUAUUCUAUGCUUGACAUGAUGCAUGCUUUCUAUAUAAUUAUUUCACCCUUGCUUUCUUGCUUGUUUGUGUUGUGUCAUGUAUGCGUUUGUUUUCUUUUGCGGUGAUCAUCUAUUUGGGUGGGAGCAGAUGGUGAGGAGGAUACUUUGGAAACAGCUCUGGAUGGGGACGACAAUGCUGCUGCCUAGUUCACUGGGCUUUAUUUCCCUUGUUCUAGGAUAUUUUGAAGAACUUCAUCAUGUUCUAAGUUUUUAAAUUCUCUGUAUUUUAAGGGAGAAACACUAGUACUCCUCUUUAAAUUUUUAGCUAUUUUAAGGAUGAUCGUAUUCCUAUAUACUUUAAGUUACAUCUAUAACUGUUUUCCUUUAUCGU